UGUGGCUGGGGGUGAAAGGCCAAUCAAACCGGGAGAUAGCUGGUUCUCCCCGAAAGCUAUUUAGGUAGCGCCUCGUGAAUUCAUCUCCGGGGGUAGAGCACUGUUUCGGCUAGGGGGCCAUCCCGGCUUACCAACCCGAUGCAAACUGCGAAUACCGGAGAAUGUUAUCACGGGAGACACACGGCGGGUGCUAACGUCCGUCGUGAAGAGGGAAACAACCCAGACCGCCAGCUAAGGUCCCAAAGUCAUGGUUAAGUGGGAAACGAUGUGGGAAGGCCCAGACAGCCAGGAUGUUGGCUUAGAAGCAGCCAUCAUUUAAAGAAAGCGUAAUAGCUCACUGGUCGAGUCGGCCUGCGCGGAAGAUGUAACGGGGCUAAACCAUGCACCGAAGCUGCGGCAGCGACGCUGAUGCGUUGUUGGGUAGGGGAGCGUUCUGUAAGCCUGCGAAGGUGGCCUGUGAGGGUUGCUGGAGGUAUCAGAAGUGCGAAUGCUGACAUAAGUAACGAUAAAGCGGGUGAAAAGCCCGCUCGCCGGAAGACCAAGGGUUCCUGUCCAACGUUAAUCGGGGCAGGGUGAGUCGACCCCUAAGGCGAGGCCGAAAGGCGUAGUCGAUGGGAAACGGGUUAAUAUUCCCGUACUUGGUGUUACUGCGAAGGGGGGACGGAGAAGGCUAUGUUGGCCGGGCGACGGUUGUCCCGGUUUAAGCGUGUAGGUGUGUGUUCCAGGUAAAUCCGGUUCACUUUAACACUGAGGCGUGAUGACGAGGCACUACGGUGCUGAAGCAACAAAUGCCCUGCUUCCAGGAAAAGCCUCUAAGCAUCAGGUAACAUCAAAUCGUACCCCAAACCGACACAGGUGGUCAGGUAGAGAAUACCAAGGCGCUUGAGAGAACUCGGGUGAAGGAACUAGGCAAAAUGGUGCCGUAACUUCGGGAGAAGGCACGCUGACACGUAGGUGAAGUGAUUUACUCAUGGAGCUGAAGUCAGUCGAAGAUACCAGCUGGCUGCAACUGUUUAUUAAAAACACAGCACUGUGCAAACACGAAAGUGGACGUAUACGGUGUGACGCCUGCCCGGUGCCGGAAGGUUAAUUGAUGGGGUCAGCGCAAGCGAAGCUCCUGAUCGAAGCCCCGGUAAACGGCGGCCGUAACUAUAACGGUCCUAAGGUAGCGAAAUUCCUUGUCGGGUAAGUUCCGACCUGCACGAAUGGCGUAAUGAUGGCCAGGCUGUCUCCACCCGAGACUCAGUGAAAUUGAACUCGCUGUGAAGAUGCAGUGUACCCGCGGCAAGACGGAAAGACCCCGUGAACCUUUACUAUAGCUUGACACUGAACAUUGAGCCUUGAUGUGUAGGAUAGGUGGGAGGCUUUGAAGUGUGGACGCCAGUCUGCAUGGAGCCGACCUUGAAAUACCACCCUUUAAUGUUU
rnacentral:rRNA from 1 species